GAGCCCUUCCAGAGAGCGCUGGGCUCCAGCUAAACCUGCGGUCGAGGGAAGCGGAGCCGCCCAGCCCAAAGCUCGGAGUGUGCCCGCCGCCUCCCCAACGAGUGGAAACUUGAAACUCCCGCUGGUGCCAGCAAACUCACUGAGGGCGUUGCCGUCGCCCCCAGAGGAGGAAUUCUUCCCAGAGGGAGCCGGGGACCAAAUGAAGCGUGAGACUUGGCUGUUAGGUUUGAAGAUCCUGGACUGGGAAGGAGAAAAGGGCCUACCUGAGCGGAAUUUAGAUUUGCAACAAAGAACGUUUACAUUAUUUUGGCAGGUUUUAGCCAACUAGAAAAACUUAAUUUUUCAGCGACAAUUUUCAAACUUCACCAAAACCUCAAUGGAUAAGACCCCAAAUCAGGAGUGCAAAUUUUAAUCCAAGCAAGGAUGUGUGAUAAUUUUUUAUUACCAACGACAUGCUUUGGCAGUUGGAAGGAGUUGGUUAGCAAGAAAAAGUUGGAAGUAGGGCCCCAAAGAGCCGCCAAACCUACAUAAUUCUAGAUUUAGAGAAAGUUAGGCAUUCGAUCUUAAGACUAAGUCUAGCCCACUCACUUUAGUUAGUGGCUGGGAUGAGACAGGAAGCUCCUGACUUCUGGAUCAGUCUUCUGUCAUCUAAUCCAUGCUGAGUCCCCUCAGUAUUGUCUGCUGGGAUGAUUCAGGGAGCAAAACUUGCUAUGAGUAUACAAACAGCAAGCGCACAAAAUCAGAUUCGCCUGGCUUGCCCUGUUUGCAAUACUUUUUUUAGCUUAUCUUUUGUGAACAAACUUUAGAUUCAAAUAACAAAACGCCUGAGUAUACUUACUUUUAUAGGACAAAUAACUCCUAUACUUCCU
rnacentral:lncRNA from 1 species